UGUCAACAUUUGCAAAACUAAAAUUUAUUUCUUUUAACUAUAACAAUUGAUGAUCUCAGCCAAAGUAACCUGAGACACGACCGGUUAUGAUCUUCAACUGACAGCACUCCAUUAACUCUGCUAUCUUUUAUAAAACUUCUUGGAAGCAAAUCUCCAAUCCCCCGUCUCCUACAAACAUCUACCUCAAAGGACACACACAGAAGCAAGUGAUAAUCAAGAAAGCGUACAAUGAUUUUGGAGGACAUUUAAAACAUUUUCCCUAACCACAGCCAGUCCUUGUCUCCUGACUACUUUUACUCUCAUUUAAAGGUUGCCUUGCUGUUUGGAAUUGCAGAUCCAGUGCUUAUCUUUUCCAAUUUCUAAUGGUAAUGAAGAAUACUUAAGAAAUCCAACCAGACACCAAUGUGAGUACUUAUUUUACCUGACAGUAUCCUGUUCCUAUAAAAAAAAAAAAAAAGCAAAAAAGCUGAAGACACUCAAGUGCCUUCAGCUGAGUUCCCACAGGAGGUUCCCUACUCCUCUCAGUGACCUGCAGAGACUUGCUGCUUCCAGACCCACAUCCCCAGCUGGCACAGAAGAAACACACUCCCUCUCAACUUCAGAUGAGGGUGCUUGGACAAAGAUGGUGACGUCUGUAUGCCAGGACACAAGAAGAAAGCCUUCUGUGGUGUUAUUUAUUAUAGCAACAGGCCCUGGCAACAGUUGGACUCCAUGGUGAUAAUGAAUAACCAAGCUCCUAAGGAAGAGAUGAGGGCAUUUCUACUCCCUGGACCUGCAGCAAGGAGAAGCAGAUGGUCACAGUUUCGCCAUGGGCUGCAAUACUUCUAACAGGGUCGCUGUAGCACAGCUGCCUCCUGAGGAGCUAGAGAAGAACCAAGAAGCCAAAAGCCAGUCUACAAGUGCCAGUAUUGCUAGAACAGGGGCUGUCACCUCAUGGGAUGGGGCAGCCUGGCCAGUGGGCACUUCAGAGAGAGGAAGCAAAGCUGAAGACAAGGCCAGAGCAGGAGACUCCCCUGAGGAAUUUGCAGAAAGAUUUACACCUUCUCAAAAAAGAAGCAAUGUGCAAAGCACAGAUGCACUGCUCACCAGUGAGUUCAUCAGUCAAUCACGGCCCUUACAAGAAAUAGAGAGACAAAAAUCAUCAGACAUUCUUGAGGAGCUGAGGAUGCAGGGGAUAAUCAGGAGCAAAAGCACUACUGCCAGGACUGAAGAGGUGUAUGAAAACAAGAUUAGGGAAGAGGAACUGAGCAAUACAGCACAACACACUGCAUUAUUUCCAGCAACUGCCCACCAAACUACAGGUGAACAGACUGAGAAGGACUGCACAAGUUGCGGAAGUCAUGGAAGGACAGACAACCCUCAACCCUCACCUUUAGAUGAGGAGCCUGGUGUACUGAUAAUGGAAAUACCUGCAGGAGAAGCCACAAAUGAUUACACUGAGGGCUCUACCAUUGAGUCUGAUAUAAGUUACAACUGCAUCAAUGAAACAAUCUGGAUCUAAGCUGUCUUGAAAAAAGGGAACCUCUAUGCUCCCUACAACUGUCUUUUCCUGGAGCAUAAGUAGACAAUUUAUCUCGAGGGGACAGCUGAGCCCUGCUACCACCUAUUUCAUCUGGGGAAACUGAAUCUAAUUUUAAGUUCUUACACACUAGUUGAAAGAAAAAACAAAUAAGAAAAUCGAGGAAGAGAUAAAUUAGUGACCAGCCUGUCUGCUCUUUAAGUCUCUAAGUUUGAGCACAUACACAUUACCAUGGUUCUAUUAAAUUUACUUUAUUAAGUUUAGCUCACUUCUUGGAUGGCCACAUAGAAAGAUCCCCUUUUCCUAGGCAGCAGAGAACCGGAGGUUGGAAAUACAUUGUAAUCACUCAGAAAGGCAGACAUGUAUGGGGAAAAGAAAAAAACAAAAUGAACAGCUGCAAGGAUUUGGGGUAGAAGAACAUGAUGGGACCCUAAGCAUAAGAACAAUGAGUUUUAACUCACUGUGCAGGGCAGCUGGCAGAGAGGUGAGAGCUUCAGAUAGCAAGGCAACAACAAGCCACAGGAAUGUCUGUGCUUACAAGGAAAGGACAGAACAAGUAAUGGAAAUACAACAGAGAAAACAAUUAAUUGGUUGAGAUAUAUAGUGUAUACGUGAGUUAUCACUAUGUAUAGGAAGAAGAUGCCUAUUUUCAUAACAGAGCAAUGCAGUUGGUCAGUCUUUUGAAUGCCCCACGCCCAACCUCCAACAUGCACACAACAUUUACUGUAGUCAGCUCUUCCAAAAGCUGGAAGUAAAACAAUGGUGGCAUUUGUGUUCUACCUGUUACCAGCCCUACCACCCCCUUCUGGUUUGUCUCUAAAUAUGCCCAGUCCCCACUUCCAUUUGUGCCACAGGCUGUACCCACUUCCCUCCCUCAUCAAUCCCACACCACGCUCACCUCUGCUCUGAAGCUGGCUUUUUUAUUUCUUUACCUCCAGCUACAGAUACCACAUCUUCCUUUCCACCUUCCAAGCCAUGAAGU
ensembl:lncRNA